rnacentral:rRNA from 1 species
CCCUUAGAUGUUCUGGGCAGCACGCGCGCUACAAUGGUCUUCGCAAACGGAUGCAUUCUCGAAGGAGAAUGCCAAUCUUGGAAUCUAUGCCUUGGUCGGGACAGUUGCUUGCAAUUUUUCGACUCGAACCAGGAAUUCCUUGUAAUCGUGAUUCAUCACAUCACGAUGAAUACGUCCCUGCCCUUUGUACACACCGCCCGUCGCUCCUACCGAUCGAAGAGUUAGGUGAAUUGUUUUGAUCGAUAAGAUUUGACUAUGGUCAACUCUCGUUGUGAAAUUCUGUGAAUCCGACUGUUUAGAGGAAGGAAAAGUCGUAACA